AGGGCGCACGGUGGAUGCCUUGGCACUAGAAGCCGAUGAAGGACGUUACUAACGACGAUAUGCUUUGGGGAGCUGUAAGUAAGCUUUGAUCCAGAGAUUUCCGAAUGGGGAAACCCAGCAUGAGUUAUGUCAUGUUAUCGAUAUGUGAAUACAUAGCAUAUCAGAAGGCACACCCGGAGAACUGAAACAUCUUAGUACCCGGAGGAAGAGAAAGAAAAUUCGAUUCCCUUAGUAGCGGCGAGCGAAACGGGAAGAGCCCAAACCAACAAGCUUGCUUGUUGGGGUUGUAGGACACUCUAUACGGAGUUACAAAGGACGACAUUAGACGAAUCAUCUGGAAAGAUGAAUCAAAGAAGGUAAUAAUCCUGUAGUCGAAAAUGUUGUCUCUCUUGAGUGGAUCCUGAGUACGACGGAGCACGUGAAAUUCCGUCGGAAUCUGGGAGGACCAUCUCCUAAGGCUAAAUACUCUCUAGUGACCGAUAGUGAACCAGUACCGUGAGGGAAAGGUGAAAAGCACCCCGGAAGGGGAGUGAAAUAGAACCUGAAACCGUGUGCUUACAAGUAGUCAGAGCCCGUUAAUGGGUGAUGGCGUGCCUUUUGUAGAAUGAACCGGCGAGUUACGAUUUGAUGCAAGGUUAAGCAGUAAAUGUGGAGCCGUAGCGAAAGCGAGUCUGAAUAGGGCGUUUAGUAUUUGGUCGUAGACCCGAAACCAGGUGAUCUACCCUUGGUCAGGUUGAAGUUCAGGUAACACUGAAUGGAGGACCGAACCGACUUACGUUGAAAAGUGAGCGGAUGAACUGAGGGUAGCGGAGAAAUUCCAAUCGAACCUGGAGAUAGCUGGUUCUCUCCGAAAUAGCUUUAGGGCUAGCCUCAAGUGAUGAUUAUUGGAGGUAGAGCACUGUUUGGACGAGGGGCCCCUCUCGGGUUACCGAAUUCAGACAAACUCCGAAUGCCAAUUAAUUUAACUUGGGAGUCAGAACAUGGGUGAUAAGGUCCGUGUUCGAAAGGGAAACAGCCCAGACCACCAGCUAAGGUCCCAAAAUAUAUGUUAAGUGGAAAAGGAUGUGGCGUUGCCCAGACAACUAGGAUGUUGGCUUAGAAGCAGCCAUCAUUUAAAGAGUGCGUAAUAGCUCACUAGUCGAGUGACACUGCGCCGAAAAUGUACCGGGGCUAAACAUAUUACCGAAGCUGUGGAUUGUCCUUUGGACAAUGGUAGGAGAGCGUUCUAAGGGCGUUGAAGCAUGAUCGUAAGGACAUGUGGAGCGCUUAGAAGUGAGAAUGCCGGUGUGAGUAGCGAAAGACGGGUGAGAAUCCCGUCCACCGAUUGACUAAGGUUUCCAGAGGAAGGCUCGUCCGCUCUGGGUUAGUCGGGUCCUAAGCUGAGGCCGACAGGCGUAGGCGAUGGAUAACAGGUUGAUAUUCCUGUACCACCUAUAAUCGUUUUAAUCGAUGGGGGGACGCAGUAGGAUAGGCGAAGCGUGCGAUUGGAUUGCACGUCUAAGCAGUAAGGCUGAGUAUUAGGCAAAUCCGGUACUCGUUAAGGCUGAGCUGUGAUGGGGAGAAGACAUUGUGUCUUCGAGUCGUUGAUUUCACACUGUCGAGAAAAGCCUCUAGAUAGAAAAUAGGUGCCCGUACCGCAAACCGACACAGGUAGUCAAGAUGAGAAUUCUAAGGUGAGCGAGCGAACUCUCGUUAAGGAACUCGGCAAAAUGACCCCGUAACUUCGGGAGAAGGGGUGCUCUUUAGGGUUAACGCCCAGAAGAGCCGCAGUGAAUAGGCCCAAGCGACUGUUUAUCAAAAACACAGGUCUCUGCUAAACCGUAAGGUGAUGUAUAGGGGCUGACGCCUGCCCGGUGCUGGAAGGUUAAGAGGAGUGGUUAGCUUCUGCGAAGCUACGAAUCGAAGCCCCAGUAAACGGCGGCCGUAACUAUAACGGUCCUAAGGUAGCGAAAUUCCUUGUCGGGUAAGUUCCGACCCGCACGAAAGGCGUAACGAUUUGGGCACUGUCUCAACGAGAGACUCGGUGAAAUCAUAGUACCUGUGAAGAUGCAGGUUACCCGCGACAGGACGGAAAGACCCCGUGGAGCUUUACUGUAGCCUGAUAUUGAAAUUCGGCACAGCUUGUACAGGAUAGGUAGGAGCCUUUGAAACGUGAGCGCUAGCUUACGUGGAGGCGCUGGUGGGAUACUACCCUAGCUGUGUUGGCUUUCUAACCCGCACCACUUAUCGUGGUGGGAGACAGUGUCAGGCGGGCAGUUUGACUGGGGCGGUCGCCUCCUAAAAGGUAACGGAGGCGCUCAAAGGUUCCCUCAGAAUGGUUGGAAAUCAUUCAUAGAGUGUAAAGGCAUAAGGGAGCUUGACUGCGAGACCUACAAGUCGAGCAGGGUCGAAAGACGGACUUAGUGAUCCGGUGGUUCCGCAUGGAAGGGCCAUCGCUCAACGGAUAAAAGCUACCCCGGGGAUAACAGGCUUAUCUCCCCCAAGAGUUCACAUCGACGGGGAGGUUUGGCACCUCGAUGUCGGCUCAUCGCAUCCUGGGGCUGUAGUCGGUCCCAAGGGUUGGGCUGUUCGCCCAUUAAAGCGGUACGCGAGCUGGGUUCAGAACGUCGUGAGACAGUUCGGUCCCUAUCCGUCGUGGGCGUAGGAAAUUUGAGAGGAGCUGUCCUUAGUACGAGAGGACCGGGAUGGACAUACCUCUGGUGUACCAGUUGUCGUGCCAACGGCAUAGCUGGGUAGCUAUGUGUGGACGGGAUAAGUGCUGAAAGCAUCUAAGCAUGAAGCCCCCCUCAAGAUGAGAUUUCCCAACUUCGGUUAU
rnacentral:rRNA from 1 species